rnacentral:rRNA from 1 species
UACGUAGGGGGCGAGCGUUGUCCGGAUUCAUUGGGCGUAAAGAGCUCGUAGGCGGUUUGGUAAGUCGGGUGUGAAAACCCCAGGCUCAACCUGGGGACGCCACCUGAUGCUGCUAUGACUUGAGUCUGGUAGGGGAUCACGGAAUUCCUGGUGUAGCGGUGAAAUGCGCAGAUAUCAGGAGGAACACCGGUGGCGAAGGCAGCCCCCUGGGUCAAGAUUGACGCUCAUGCACGAAAGCGUGGGGAGCAAACAGG